CCUACGGGAGGCAGCAGUGGGGGAUAUUGCACAAUGGGGGGAACCCUGAUGCAGCGACGCCGCGUGGGUGAAGGAGUGCUUCGGCAUGUAAAGCCCUAUCGGCAGGGAAGAAGCAAGACGGUACCUGACUAAGAAGCCCCGGCUAACUACGUGCCAGCAGCCGCGGUAAUACGUAGGGGGCGAGCGUUAUCCGGAUUCACUGGGUGGAAAGGGAGCGUAGACGGCCAGGCAAGCGAGGGGUGAAAGCCCGGGGCACAAACCCGGGACCGCCCGUGGAACUGCAUGGCGGGAGGGCGGGAGGGGCAGGCGGAAUUCCUGGUGUAGCGGUGAAAUGCGUAGAUAUCAGGAGGAACACCGGCGGCGAAGGCGGCCUGCUGGACCGCGACUGACGUUGAGGCUCGAAAGCGUGGGGAGCGAACAGGAUUAGAUACCCUUGUAGUC
rnacentral:rRNA from 1 species